UACGAAGGGGGCUAGCGUUGUUCGGAAUUACUGGGCGUAAAGCGUGCGCAGGCGGCUUCUCAAGUCAGGGGUGAAAGCCCAGAGCUCAACUCUGGAAUUGCCUUUGAGACUGAGUGGCUUGAGUACGAGAGAGGUGAGUGGAAUUCCCAGUGUAGAGGUGAAAUUCGUAGAUAUUGGGAAGAACACCGGUGGCGAAGGCGGCUCACUGGCUCGUAACUGACGCUCAUGCAACGACAGCCGUGGGGGAUCAAAACAGG
rnacentral:rRNA from 1 species